rnacentral:rRNA from 1 species
CGGGAGGCAGCAGUGGGGAAUUUUUCGCAAUGGGCGAAAGCCUGACGGAGCAAGCCCGCGUGAGGGAGGAAGGCUUUUGGGUUGUAAACCUCUUUUUUCAGGGAAGAAGAUCUGACGGUACCUGACGAAUAAGCCUCGGCUAACUCCGUGCCAGCAGCCGCGGUAAUACGGAGGAGGCAAGCGUUAUCCGGAAUCAUUGGGGGUAAAGCGUCCGUAGGUGGCGAUGUAAGUCUGCUGUCAAAGACCACAGCUUAACUGUGGAAAGGCAGUGGAAACUGCGUGGCUAGAGUACGGUAGGGGUAGAGGGAAUUCCCGGUGUAGCGGUGAAAUGCGUAGAGAUCUGGAAGAACACCGGUGGCGAAAGCGCUCUACUGGGCCGAAACUGACACUGAGGGACGAUAGAUAGGGGAGCGAAAGGGAUUAGAUACCCCCGUAGUCC